rnacentral:rRNA from 1 species
AGAGUUUGAUCAUGGCUCAGGAUGAACGCUAGCGGCAGGCCUAAUACAUGCAAGCUGAACGGUAAAUAUUGUAGCAAUACGAUAUGAGAGUAGCGUAAGGGUGCGUAACACGUAUGCAAUCUGCCCUGUACAGGAGGAUAGCUCGGCGAAAGCCGGAUUAAUACUCCGUAAUAUUAUUGAGUGGCAUCAUUUGAUAAUUAAAGUCGCAAGACGGUAUGGGAUGAGCAUGCGUCUGAUUAGCUAGUUGGUGGUGUAACGGACCACCAAGGCGAUGAUCAGUAGGGGAACUGAGAGGUUGAUCCCCCACACUGGCACUGAGAUACGGGCCAGACUCCUACGGGAGGCAGCAGUAGGGAAUAUUGGUCAAUGGAUGCAAGUCUGAACCAGCCAUGCCGCGUGCAGGGAGAAGGCCUUCUGGGUUGUAAACUGCUUUUGCCGGGGGAUAAAAUUCCCAUGCGUGGGAAAUUGAAGGUACCCGGUGAAUAAGCCACGGCUAACUACGUGCCAGCCGCCGCGGUAAUAC